UAAAAUGAUGUUUUUCUUUUUGCCUCCAUAGAGAGAAUUCUGUGCGAGGAUGAGCAAAGUGAGGAAGUGGUUGAAACGCGUUCGAUCGUGUUUCUCUUGCUUCGGCAAGAGAAAACGAGAUCGAACAUCAGAUUCUAACAUCUGUGAAUCUGUCGUGAAGGAGCCCACGGAAGAGCCCAACCCACCAACCUGCCUGGUAAGCAGUAAAGGAGAUGGUAUCAUAGAUUCCUUAUGUUAUUAGCUUCUUCCUGAAUGUUGUGUUCACUUUAACAGAAUAUGACUGUUAGCAAACAGCUAACUAUAGCCAAUGAACCCAUACCCAUAUAACUUGUGAUAUAAAUGUUAUUUCCAUCCACAUAUGGAUCUGUGCAUACAAUAGUUAUAGCACUGCCCCCCCCCCCCCAGUUUAGUAGACAUCUGUGGCUCUGAUCAAUUUUUCUCUCUUAACCAGGAACCAUCUGUUGGAUCUGGCAACUUUGUUUGCCAAGAACCGACAGAAAUCCCUGGCAACAAUAACUGCCAGGAGGAGGAGCCAGAGCAGGAACUGGAGCCGGCUGUUAACAUCUGCCAUGUAAGCAUAAGAGAGGGAUGAGAAGGGCAAAU